rnacentral:rRNA from 1 species
GACGUAGGGCGCGAGCGUUGUCCGGAUUUAUUGGGCGUAAAAGAGCUCGUAGGCGGUCUGUCACGUCGGCUGUGAAAACCCGAGGCUCAACCUCGGGCCUGCAGUCGAUACGGGCAAACUAGAGUACUGCAGGGGAGACUGGAAUUCCUGGUGUAGCGGUGAAAUGCGCAGAUAUCAGGAGGAACACCGGUGGCGAAGGCGGGUCUCUGGGCAGUAACUGACGCUGGAGGAGCGAAAGCGUGGGGAGCGAACAGG